AUGUCUACGGAAUGGGAGGGAGUAGAAGCCAAGAAGCCUCUCUUGGUGGCCCGGAACAACAGCGCUUCUUCGAUUUGGGUGGUGGUCGCUAGCACCACCAUCGCCGUUGCUGGAUCCUUCGUGUUCGGCAUCUCGGUGGGCUACUCAUCACCAUCUCAGGAGGGCAUCAUGCGGGAUCUUCAUCUUUCCUUAGCAGAGUAUUCUGUCUUUGGCUCGAUAUUGACCAUUGGAGCAAUGCUGGGCGCUAUUGUCAGUGGUACCGUAGCAGAUCGAGUUGGUCGAAGAUGUGCAAUGGCAAUUUCAGAUGUGUUGUGCAUUCUUGGAUAUCUCCUUAUAGUCUUUUCUAAGAACUCUGUGUGGCUUGACCUUGGGAGGCUCUCAAUUGGAUGUGGAAUCGGCCUUCUUUCAUAUGUGGUCCCAGUCUAUAUAUCGGAGAUAACACCCAAGAAUCUUAGAGGACGGUUCGCAGCCGUAAACCAGUUUAUGAUAUGUUGCGGGGCAUCGCUCGCGUAUGCUCUGGGGACAUGUAUCACCUGGCGUACCUUGGCAAUCGUAGGAGUGACACCAUGCUUGCUGCAGCUGGUUGGCCUUCUUGUGAUUCCCGAAUCUCCUAGGUGGCUGGCAAAGAUCGGACACUCAGGUGCACUUGAGGAAGCGUUACAGAAGCUAAGGGGAAAAGAAACUGACAUCUCCGAAGAGGCAGCAGAUAUCAAACUCAUUAUAUAUGGUCAGGAUUUCACAGAACAGCUUCAACACCUGCCACAGUCAAAGAUGUUGGACCUAUUUCAGAAGGAUUAUAUUCAUGCUGUCACCGUUGGAGUUGGGCUGAUGGUCCUUCAACAGUUUGGUGGAGUGAAUGCAAUCUGCUUCUACGCCAGUGAGAUAUUUGUUUCGGCUGGUUUCUCGUCAGGGAACACUGGAAUGCUCGCUAUGGUUGCGGUUCAGAUUCCGAUGACGGCACUUGGGGUGCUUCUGUUGGACAAGGCUGGAAGGAGGCCACUUCUGAUGGUCUCUGCAGCUGGGACAUGCCUGGGUUGUCUACUAGUUGGCCUGUCAUUCUUGUCCAAGGAACAUCAUUGGGCGAAGGACCUCAACGUCGCGUUGGCAUUGACAGGGAUUCUGAUCUUCAGUGGAUCUUUCUCACUGGGUAUGGGAGGAAUUCCAUGGGUUAUAAUGUCAGAGAUCUUCCCCAUACACAUGAAAGGGUCAGCAGGAAGCCUGGUGACCUUGGUGAGCUGGCUCGGCUCAUGGAUCGUCUCGUAUGCCUUCAACUUCCUCCUGCUGUGGAGCUCCUACGGUACAUUUUUCAUGUUCGCGAGCAUUUGCGGUCUGACUGUUGUAUUUGUGGAGCGGCUGGUACCAGAGACUAAAGGAAGGACCCUGGAAGAGAUUCAAGCGUCCAUGAACUCGUCAUUGACGCCAGUUUCUUCUGGAAUUAACCGAGCUGCGUAA
rnacentral:rRNA from 1 species